UACGUAGGGAGCAAGCGUUGUCCGGAAUCAUUGGGCGUAAAGCGCGCGUAGGCGGCCCUGUAAGUCCGUUGUGAAAGUCAAAGGCUCAACCUUUGAAAGCCGAUGGAUACUGCAGGGCUAGAGUCCGGAAGAGGCGAGUGGAAUUCCUGGUGUAGCGGUGAAAUGCGCAGAUAUCAGGAGGAACACCAAUGGCGAAGGCAGCUCGCUGGGACGGUACUGACGCUGAGACGCGAAAGCGUGGGGAGCAAACAGG
rnacentral:rRNA from 1 species